GACGAACGCUGGCGGCGUGCCUAACACAUGCAAGUCGAACGGGGUAGAGAGCUUCGGUUUUCUACUUAGUGGCGAACGGGUGAGUAACGCGUGGGAAACCUGCCUUUCAGUGGGGGACAACAGUUGGAAACGACUGCUAAUACCGCAUAAUGUUAUUUGGGGGCAUCCCUGAAUACCCAAAGCUUUAUGUGCUGAAAGAUGGUCUCGCGUCUGAUUAGCUAGAUGGCGGGGUAACGGCCCACCAUGGCGACGAUCAGUAGCCGGUCUGAGAGGAUGAACGGCCACAUUGGGACUGAGAUACGGCCCAGACUCCUACGGGAGGCAGCAGUGGGGAAUAUUGGGCAAUGGGGGAAGCCCUGACCCAGCAACGCCGCGUGAGGGAAGAAGGCUUUCGGGUUGUAAACCUCUUUUAGCAGGGACGAAGAACGUGACGGUACCUGCAGAAAAAGCAACGGCUAACUACGUGCCAGCCGCCGCAGUAAGAC
rnacentral:rRNA from 1 species